rnacentral:ncRNA from 2 species
UCCGUCGAGGGGCGCUGCAGCAGUCACCGCAAGGUGGGUCUGUCAGGCUCGAUGGGUGGUUCAACAGGCAGCAACGGCGCCCAUUCAUU